UGGAAGUAAAAGUCGUAACAAGGUUUCCGUAGGUGAACCUGCGGAAGGAUCAUUAAAAAACUUACCAAAACACUGUUUUAGAUUUAUAAAACCCACCAGUUAAGUUCAAUUAAACAAAAUAUAAAACUUUCAACAACGGAUCUCUUGGUUCUCGCAUCGAUGAAGAACGCAGCGAAAUGCGAUACGUAGUAUGACUUGCAGACGUGAAUCAUCGAAUCUUUGAACGCACAUUGCGCCUUGGGGCAUUCUCCAAGGCAUGCCUGUUUGAGCGUGAUUUCUUCUCACCGCCCAGGUGGUUUUGCAUCCGCUAAAUAACAUAUCCGCAGCGAAGUCUACGCUUUCACUGCACCAUGCUAUUUCCUCAAAUCAGGUAGGACUACCCGCUGAACUUAAGCAUAUCAAUAAGCGGAGGAA
rnacentral:rRNA from 1 species